GAUGAACGCUAGCGGGAGGCUUAAUACAUGCAAGUCGAGGGGCAGCAUAGGGUAGCAAUACUCUGAUGGCGACCGGCAAACGGGUGAGUAACGCGUAUGUAACCUACCCUGUACAGGGGGAUAACCCGGAGAAAUUCGGACUAAUAUCCCAUAACAAUAUCCGGGGGCAUCUUUGGAUAUUUAAAGUUCCGGCGGUACGGGAUGGGCAUGCGUAACAUUAGCUAGUUGGUAAGGUAACGGCUUACCAAGGCUUUGAUGUUUAGGGGUCCUGAGAGGGUGGUCCCCACACUGGUACUGAGACACGGACCAGACUCCUACGGGAGGCAGCAGUGAGGAAUAUUGGUCAAUGGGCGCAAGCCUGAACCAGCCAUCCCGCGUGCAGGAAGACGGCGCUAUGCGUUGUAAACUGCUUUUCCAGGGAGAGAAACUUGCGCACGUGUUGCGCAAUUGACGGUACCCUGGGAAUAAGCAUCGGCUAACUCCGUGCCAGCAGCCGCGGUAAAACGUGCGUG
rnacentral:rRNA from 1 species